CCCCUCCGGGCGGGGACGGGCGCGCUGCCCCGGGGGGGCGGAGGGGCGGCGGGCACAGCGCGACCGCGGGGCUCCGCGCUUUACGCUUCCCUACUGCGUGCCGCGGCGGGGGGGCAGCAAUGAGAAGAAGUGCGGGGACCAAGCGGCGGCAGCUGGAGCGCGGCGGCUGCGCGCGCGCGUGUGUGUGUAUGUGUUUGUGCAUGUAUGUGUGCAUGUGUGUGUGCAUGUGUGUGUGUAUGUGUGUGUGUGUAUGUGUGUGUGUGCCCCCCCGCCGAACGGGGAGUCAGGUGGGACACACACACACACGCUCUCACGCAGGCCCCCCCCUCUGUCUCUGCACUCCCUGCCCCUUCCCCGCUUUCCUCCUUUGCCUUCAUCCUUCCCUCGCUCCUUUAUUUAUUUCCAUGCCCGCUCCCCGCCGCUGCCCCUCGCAACCCCUGCCGGGCAGCGACCUCCGAAACGCGGUGGCGACCUCCCGGGACGGGGCCUUGCGGGAUAAGGGCACGCAGCCUCCGGGGUGGCCACCCCGUCGGGUUCCGCCGCGCCGCGCGUUGUCGGGAGCUGCGCAUCAGCCCCACACCCCGGUCUCGGCUGCUGUGUCACCUGGCACCAUGUGCUCCUCAACAGCGCUGUUUGAGAAUUGUCUUUAUUCGUGGAACUUCUCCGUGGAGAGGGACUUUUUUCUUUUGUUUUUUUUUUUUUAAGCCCUUCUUUCCCAUCUUUGCCACUGCACAAUUUGGAUGUGGAGUUCCUGGAAAGUGAACGCUGGCAAUGAGUGCAGCUUUCCCUGAAAGCUGAGGCUGCUGCUUAUUGCCUAUUGAGAAGAGAGGGGACCAUGGAUGUCAGCUCCAUCUUUUUUUUUUUCUUUUUUUUUCUUUUCUUUUUUUUUUCUUUUUUCUUUUAUUUUGACUUUGAGGCAUAUUUCCUCUUCCUGCUCUGGGAAUUGGCAGAUACAGUUCCUGUAGGCAACUUUGCAUCAAGACAGAGACUGUGGAGUCGAUACCUCAAUGCUUUUCUUAGCUGUGCACUUCUAUUAAUUGGUGUUAGAAAGUGCAACCUUGUAGCACAGUUAUUGAAUAAUCAUUAAUCUGUGGAGGAUACACAAGCCCAAAGGUUAAUAAUAACAAUUAAUAAUAGUGACUUUGCUAGCAGGGAGACUAUUUUCUCAUAGUUAUUAAAAGGCACUCCCAUUUAUGCUAUGUAUGGAGAGGUGAAUUUGGCCCUGGCGUGCUGUGUACCACAUUACUGCAGCAAGCCCACAGAUGAAUCCUUCCCAUUAUCUCCAUGCUGUCAGGCCUCUCACUUUUUCUCCCUUUAAAAUGUAUCAAGCACUGCUCUCAUUUUAAAUAGAAAUGCUCAAGCUUUAAUCAAUUCUGACAUUUCCACUGGAAAAUAACAUUUAGCUCUCUUACAUAGAUAAAAAUUUAUUUGCCUACAGCUGGUCUGCUGCAAUGCUUUGGACCUAUUUGCUUCUCAGAGAAGAGUUGGCUUUUCAUGGUCUCUAGGUACCAUGGGGCAAUAAAUAGAAAGUCAGUGCAAGGGAAAUGUUCACACUUUUGCAGGCACAACAUUCCACUGCCUCCUCGCUGAGCUCUUCAGUCUGCCUAACCAGCAUGCUCCUGUUGUCCAAGACCCGUCUCCUUUAUUUGUAUCACACCCCUGUCUGGCUGGUCAGUGAAUCCUAAUAAUAAUCGUGUUUCAUGUCUCAGAAAUCUAAUAAUCAAGUUAGUCAUUCGUAUAAAUUGCAACUAAGCUGUUUGGGUUCGUUGUUCUAUCCCCACUUUAAAGGCAGGGAAACUGAAACAGGAAAAUUAACGCAUUUGCCUGAGGCCACACUUGGAUUUAAGAGUAGGUCCAGCACAGGAACUGAGUUCUGUAUUUAGACCAUGCUUCCUCUUAAAGAUUCUGAAGCACACUGUAGAAAAUGUUUUUAAAGAAAGGAAUGUAGUAUAAACCAUAUUUUUCAUUGACUUUGUAUACUAGUCAAAUCGAAUGCUUUUUUAUUUUUAAAUAUAUAUUAUGUUUCCUUUUCUAAACACAAGAUUUAUUUGACUUUUGACAAAGCAUGGUGGUACCUUUCAGUUGCAGUCAGCUUACUGUGGAAACAAGAAGCAUUUACUAUGAGAUUGUGAGCAGUAAUGGGAACAGAAUUGCUUGUUGUUAGGUUAUUGUAAACAAUAUCCAUUGGAUGUUACGGUGUAGUUGUAGGCCAGCACAACAUAAUGAGAAGUUCAGCAUUAGUAUAGAUAAGGCGCUCUUGCUUACCUGGUAUGCAUCAGUUUCCACCGUAAUUCUCCUUCAGUGCUUUCAGCAGCAAAAUACUUAGUGUGGCUUUAAGCACUGAAAAACAUGUGGGACAACCAUAUACCAUGAGAGUUAUGAUUUAUAUCAUUAAGCAGUGAGUUUUGCAGAGUUGUGUCACUCAUGUCAAUGAAGCAAGAAGUAUUCUGCCGGCCCUUUAGCUGUGGCAUGUCAUCAAAGCUAUAUUAUGGUAUGACUGAGCGCAGAUGGCAUGUCUAAAAAGCAGGUGUACAAUAUAACUUUCAUAUUACUGACACAUAGAUAUUUCCUCUUCCUCAGUGUCCAUUCCCAGAUGUUUGCUUGCCCAGACUUCUACAGGAACUAUAGAAAGUCCUGCUCAUCCCUCAUGUCUGGAUUUGUAUCGUCAAAACCUGUACAGAAUAUGUGCUUACAUAUAUUUGUAUGCAUUUAUGCUGACAGCUCCUUUCUGAGUUUUUUUCAGGGUCCUGAUUUGAGGAAAGUGGAUGCAGAUCUCGCUCAAAUAAUCUUUCUCCAAUACCAUCAACAUUGCCUGCCAAAAAUAAAAGUGGCAUAUGAAUCACAAUAAUUCACUCAUGAUUUGGUGGAUUUAAAGCCUGCGAAGGAGCAUUAGAGAUCCACAUGAUGUUCCUGAGUUUUAUGGACUUUGAGUGGUGGUAAAAGGAUAUUUAGCCAAGGACCUAUCUUAUAUGUACUGCAGAUCUAUCACGUAUUCAAGUGAAGGGCAAUAUUAAUGAAACUAUCUCUGUUCAAAUGUUUAUCUUUCAGGUGAGGUGACGAAACUGUUGAAUCUGCAGAGUGAAACCAUCGGAAGCCUUUUCUGAGGUGCCCCUUACCAAAAUGUUACUAUGGCAUAAUGAUUUGGAAAUAAGUUUUGUGUGAGAAGAGCUAUCAGAUCCCCUGGGAAACAUUACAGAUACUUUUCAGUUCCUUUCAGACAUGUAAAUAUGUUUAGACAUGAGCAGAAAGUAGAGCUGGGGAGUGGAGUAGGGCAGGGAGUAGGGUGGGGUUAAAAGCUUCCUCAUAGAUCCUGGAACCAAAUAAACAUGUGUUUUUUUUCUUCUUAUCUGAUGUUAGCUGGAGCUUGAAAUAGUCAAUAUUAAGAAGAAACACCACAUAAAUGUGUGUAUAUGUAAGAGUUAUGUUGACCGAUGAUUAAAAGAGGUCAUCUUCUGCCAUUCAUCACAGACUGGCUUCAGUUUCUUCCAGCCAUUCACUGGAGGUGCUUGUUUCUAGGCCCUGAUGCUGCACAGUACCUCAAUCCAUUCAGCUUGUCUUCAAGAUGGUAACUACUUUCCGCUCCACGUAUCUGCUGCGGAAGAUCUUGUGAUUACCUGAAAAAGUGAAUUGCAUCCUGUAGAUUUCCCCUUAAAACUUUUGCUUCACAGAAAAGUUCAGCUUGUGACAGAUGCGUCAGUGGUGUGAGACUCACUUCUCUGUUGCCUAAUUGCCCUCUCCACCUUCUGUCAAUCUGAAACUUUCAUUUUGGAAAGGAUUGAAGGAGUUGUAUUAAUGUUUGUGCUAGCCACUAUUUUUCCUGCACAUUUUCUCCUUUCCUUUGGUGUCUGGUUUGUCUUGGCUGCUUCUAAAAAUUCUGUUGCCUCUAGUGAGGGACUGCCAGAUUAAACCAGUACAGAGAAGCCAGGUGACUGUCUACUUUUACAAAUAUAGGUUGUGUAUAAUAAAUUCAGGUUUUACAUCUAUGCAAAUGAAGUCAUCAUAUGAUUCUGACUACAUGCAUUUUUUUUAUCAAAUAUGGCAUAUAUUUCACAAAUUAUAUUUAACUUAUACACAUGUUGCUAUUCUGAAUACCUGACUAGGAAUUGCAAAGUGUGCCACCAGAUCUUAGUAAAUGGGCUUAUGGAACAAGAAGAAAUAAGGGAAAAUCACCUCUUUUCCUUGCAUUACGGACAAGUCCAGUGUAAGGGCUUUUCCUAAUCUAGAUGGCAAUAUAAACACCACAGAGAUGUUCAGAGGUACAUCUUUUUGUUGGGAAUUAAAGAAUUUACAAAUAAUAAAACAAAAUGCCCUAAAAAAAGGAAGUUUUAAAGUAAUGUGUCUUUGGUCUAGUGUUUGUCGCAGCUACUUGGUAUGGCCUUCCUCUAAUGUUUCAGUCAUGCAGAAUAAGACAUUAGUCACAUUGUCAAAAUAAGCAUGUUACUUCUGCAAAAAUGUAUUUUCACCUCAGGAAUAUUGUGAAGUGAAAACAGGAUUUAGCACAAUUCUUCCUUUUGAGUUUUUCUACAGACAGGACAGUUUAGUGAUACACAGAUAGUGUAAAGCUCUAAAUCUUGCAAGAUGAUCCCCAACUGCAGGUAUGACACACCUGGAAGAAUCUGCCAACUGAGUGCUGGCUAGGAUUAAGCUGAAAAGGCAAGAACUCAGUGCUUUCAGUGUUAACUGUCCUCAAUAACUGCUGGUUUGUUUUUUUGUUGUUGUUGUUGAGUUGUUUUUUUUUGUUUCUUUCUUUCUUUCUUUCUGUCUUUUCAAAUAAAUAAACAAGUAUUUUAUUGAGCUCAA